AUUGAUUUAGUUUAUAAAAAAAUAGUAAAUUGUGGAUUUACAGAAAAAAUUCAAUA
rnacentral:tRNA from 1 species